UUUUAGAGUUUGAUCAUGGCUCAGGAUGAACGCUGGCGGCGUGCCUAAUACAUGCAAGUCGAGCGAACAGAUAAGGAGCUUGCUCCUUUGACGUUAGCGGCGGACGGGUGAGUAACACGUGGGUAACCUACCUAUAAGACUGGGAUAACUUCGGGAAACCGGAGCUAAUACCGGAUAAUAUUUCGAACCGCAUGGUUCGAUAGUGAAAGAUGGUUUUGCUAUCACUUAUAGAUGGACCCGCGCCGUAUUAGCUAGUUGGUAAGGUAACGGCUUACCAAGGCGACGAUACGUAGCCGACCUGAGAGGGUGAUCGGCCACACUGGAACUGAGACACGGUCCAGACUCCUACGGGAGGCAGCAGUAGGGAAUCUUCCGCAAUGGGCGAAAGCCUGACGGAGCAACGCCGCGUGAGUGAUGAAGGUCUUCGGAUCGUAAAACUCUGUUAUUAGGGAAGAACAUACGUGUAAGUAACUGUGCACGUCUUGACGGUACCUAAUCAGAAAGCCACGGCUAACUACGUGCCAGCAGCCGCGGUAAUACGUAGGUGGCAAGCGUUAUCCGGAAUUAUUGGGCGUAAAGCGCGCGUAGGCGGUUUUUUAAGUCUGAUGUGAAAGCCCACGGCUCAACCGUGGAGGGUCAUUGGAAACUGGAAAAGUGGGGGGCAGAAGAGGAAAGUGGAAUUCCAUGUGUAGGGGUGAGGGGGGCAGANAUAUGGAGGAACACCAGGGCGAAGGCGACUUUCGGUCUGAACGACGCGAUGGAGGGCGG
rnacentral:rRNA from 1 species